rnacentral:rRNA from 1 species
GAUAAACGCUAGCGGCAGGCCUAACACAUGCAAGUCGAACGGUAACAGGGGUAGCAAUAUCUGCUGACGAGUGGCGCACGGGUGAGUAACACGUUUGCAACUAACCUUUGACUGGGGGAUAGCCCGGAGAAAUUCGGAUUAAUACCCCAUAAUAUUUAUAGGAGGCAUCUUUUAUAAAUUAAAGCUUCGGUGGUCAAAGACGGGCAUGCGUACCAUUAGCUUGUUGGUGAGGUAACGGCUCACCAAGGCAACGAUGGUUAGGGGGUCUGAGAGGAUGGUCCCCCAACUGGUACUGAGACACGGACCAGACUCCUACGGGAGGCAGCAGUGAGGAAUAUUGGGCAAUGGACGCAAGUCUGACCCAGCCAUGCCGCGUGCAGGAUGAAUGCCCUAUGGGUUGUAAACUGCUUUUGUACAGAAAGAAAUCACCGGACGUGUCCGGUGUUGACGGUACUGUAUGAAUAAGCAUCGGCUAACUCCGUGCCAGCAGCCGCGGU